rnacentral:lncRNA from 1 species
UUCCCACAAAGACUCUUCACCGAGGGACAGGAGUUCUGUUUGUUUUUUACACUGCAGGAAGGCUAGAUCUGACAGCUCAGGAGGCUGAGGCAGGAGGAGCACUGUCUCGCCAUGUAGCCCAGGCUGAUCCAACUUCUGCGAUCCUCCUACCUCAGCCUCUCCAGUGCUGGGACAGCAGCCGUGUGCCACCAUGCCUGGUUCGUUUUCGUUGUUUACUUCCUCUCCUUGCUGAAAGUGUGGGUCACCG